GAUGUGUUGGCAGAUAAAUGCACUUGAUUUAGGCUCAAGACAUAAAGAUUCUAAUCUUUACACAUUU
rnacentral:tRNA from 1 species